rnacentral:rRNA from 1 species
UACGAAGGGUGCAAGCGUUGUUCGGAAUUAUUGGGCGUAAAGCGCACGUAGGCGGCCUGGUAAGUCUCACUGUGAAAGUCCGGGGCUCAACCCCGGGAUGCCAGGGGAUACUGCGAGGCUGGAGACAAGCAGAGGUUGGUAGAAUUCCGGGUGUAGCGGUGAAAUGCGUUGAUAUCGUGAGGAACACCGGUGGCGAAAGCGGCUCACUGGGUCUUUGCUGACGCUGAGGCACGAAAGCUAGGGUAGCGAACGGG